rnacentral:snRNA from 1 species
GCUCCCUUUAUUGGCGUAUUCUGAAGAUGGAAUGAUACAAUAGAUUAGUGUGGCCCCUCACCAAGGAUGACAAAUUUGUAAAGAGCUCCCAUAUUUUUUU